rnacentral:rRNA from 1 species
GAUGAACGCUGGCGGCGUGCCUAAUACAUGCAAGUCGAGCGAAUAGACGAGGAGCUUGCUCCUCUGACGUUAGCGGCGGACGGGUGAGUAACACGUGGAUAACCUACCUAUAAGACUGGGAUAACUUCGGGAAACCGGAGCUAAUACCGGAUAACAUGUUGAACCGCAUGGUUCAACAGUGAAAGACGGUCUUGCUGUCACUUAUAGAUGGAUCCGCGCCGCAUUAGCUAGUUGGUAAGGUAACGGCUUACCAAGGCAACGAUGCGUAGCCGACCUGAGAGGGUGAUCGGCCACACUGGAACUGAGACACGGUCCAGACUCCUACGGGAGGCAGCAGUAGGGAAUCUUCCGCAAUGGGCGAAAGCCUGACGGAGCAACGCCGCGUGAGUGAAGAAGGUCUUCGGAUCGUAAAACUCUGUUAUUAGGGAAGAACAAAUGUGUAAGUAACUAUGCACGUCUUGACGGUACCUAAUCAGAAAGCCACGGCUAACUACGUG